UACGAAGGGGGCUAGCGUUGCUCGGAAUUACUGGGCGUAAAGCGCACGUAGGCGGAUUGCUAAGUCAGGGGGUGAAAUCCUGGAGCUCAACUCCAGAACUGCCUUUGAUACUGGUGAUCUUGAGUCCGGGAGAGGUGAGUGGAACUGCGAGUGUAGAGGUGAAAUUCGUAGAUAUUCGCAAGAACACCAGUGGCGAAGGCGGCUCACUGGCCCGGUACGUGACGCUGAGGUGCGAAAAGCGUGGG
rnacentral:rRNA from 1 species